rnacentral:rRNA from 1 species
UCUUAGCGACAAAAAGGAGAGCGAGGAGGACACCCGCCGCGGCGGCGACGCGUGUCUUGUGUAGGAGCGGUCGCAUCGAAGAGGCCGCAGGCCGGUUGCGCGAGUGAUCGGAGGGCGGAAGGAGGUGUAGAGGAGCGGAGGUGGGGUAGGUCAAGCACGGUAAGCGACGAGGUUCUGUUCCCGUACCGCGAGCCGCCGACGCCGUUGCUUCGACUACCACGUGCUCGGUUGGUACCUCCGUCAUCGUGCCCCGUCGCUGUCGUCGUACCUCCCGCAGGAGAACAAACCCUUCCAUUACCUUGACGUUUAUCCUCACCGUCGCCGCUGGUCCUACGUUUACCUUCACCAAGGGUUUCUGGAACCUUUCCUGAAUUUCUGUUAUUGAAUAUACUAGGAACCUUGGUACGUACCGGCAUAAUACCCCCAAAACUAACGUGCAUGAUGUCGGAUUUCGUGUUUCCACCUCCACGUUGGGCACAGCGCCUCGUGGAACCACCAUAACAUCCAUUACACUCCUCGACAGGGUUACACGGUUCUUUACACUCUCUACGUUACUCUCUCACGGCCCUACUUAGUUCCUCCUUCUUUUCUCUUUGUUUUAUCGUCCGACUCUUAACUUUCUUUAUAAUACCUUCCCAACAUAUUUUUUCCUCCCCACCAAUUGCAUGGUCUACUACUACUUCUUCUUUAAGUCUACUUAUAAUCUCUUCGUAACGCACUGGGCUUACAGAGAGCGUCUUAACUUUCCUCUUAACCGUUCCCCCCACACCCACUACACGUACAAAGACAACCAUUUUCCUCAUAGUCGCGGAUAAAACUGUCCGUUAAUAGAUCGUUGUUUCAUAGAUACGUCGGGUUCUAGUCAUCACGAAACCUAGGAUUAAGUUCUCUACGUGAACCAGAUCGAACCAGGUUCAAAAAAGUACGGUUACUAUAACGACCUGCAUUUCGACUAACGGGUAUGAAAGCUCGACGACACUUCUAGUGAGUUGUUAAUCCCGGAUAAGGAUAUGGUUGGCGCUUCCUCUAACUACCCGGUAUAAACCUCCGGUUGAUACUACUUCGAUUAAGCAAAGAAUUUUUUAAGUUUGUUCUGACCUUCUUGAAACCACACUGAGAAUACACGCUAAGAACCUGACCAGGAUGUCCUUACUCGUAGUAUUUGAAGUACCACAUAACAUUACGUGCUUACAAGAAGGAGUUAUGGUAACUACGUAGGCCUGUUUGAGUCUUAAGUCUUUACCGUGCACUCGUUUCCUAUAGUUCUUCGAAAACCUACAACCCUUCGAACCUCGACUACGAAGUUUAUUCGACUACCAACAGAAAACCUCUACAAAGAUACAAAUUACGAAAUUUCAGAAAACCGACAUGACCUGAUAAAUUUGAAACUUGAUACGACACUACCAACUUGACUACGACCUGCCAAUUCCCAAAUACAGUCUCCGUUGAAAUAUUGAUUACACACGGACAAUAUAACCUGACAAUUCCCAAUACAACCUCCGUUAAAAUAUUGAUUACACACAGACGAUACAACCUAACAAUUGACAAUACAACCUCCGUUGUAAUAUCGAUUGUACACGGACAAUACAACCCGUCUAAGUUAAAAGAAUUAGGGAUCUCGAAUAAACGAUUUCAAAUAUUCUAGAGAGGACUACCAACAACACGACUAUACAAAACGAAAUAAAAUAAAUUUCAAAACAAGUUUAAAGCCGGCUUAAAGCCGGUUUAAAGCCAAUUUAAAACCGGUUUAAAAGUUUAAAACUAAAAUGUUAAAGCAGGCUCUAAAACGGCUUAAAAAACUUUAAGGGCUUUAAGCCGGUAAAGCCGGUUCCUGCUUUUUUUU